rnacentral:misc_RNA from 1 species
UUUCCGUAGGUGAACCUGAGGAAGGAUCAUUAUUGUAUAACCGAGGUGCGAGGGCUGUCGCUGACCCGAAAGGUCGUGCACGCCCGAGUGCCCUCACACACAUCCAUCUCACCCCUAUGUGCACCACCGCGUGGGUCCCCCUUUGGCUUGUUCGGAGGGGGGCUUACGUUUUCACACAAACUUUGUAUGCAGUGUAGAAUGUAUUUUUUGUUUUUGCGAUCACGCAAUCAAUACAACUUUCAACAACGGAUCUCUUGGCUCUCACAUCGAUGAAGAACGCAGC